ACUGACAAAUCAAUAUUAGGAUCAAAGUGUGGACCAAGCAGAACCAGAACUCUCAUAGACUAUUGGUGGGAGUGUAAAAUGGCACAACCUCUUUGGAAAAAUGUUGUAAUAGUUUUGUAUAACACAAAACAUACACUUUGCAGAUGACUAAGCAAAACUAAAAAGCUGAUUGUAGAUAUUUACCCCUAAAAAAUACAAAACAGGGGCGCCUGGGUGGCUCAGUCAGUUAAGCGUCCGACUUUGGCUCAGGUCAUGAUCUCACGGUUCGUGAGUUCAAGCCCCGCGUUGGGCUCUGUGCUGAUGGCUCAGAGCCUGGAGCCUGUUUCAGAUUCUGUGUCUCCCUCUCUCUCUGACCCUCCCCUGUUCAUGCUCUGUCUCUCUCUGUCUCAAAAAUAAAUAAACGUUAAAAAAAUUUAAUAAAAUAAAAUAAAAUAAAAUAAAAUAAAAUAAAAUAAAGAAAAUGAGUUUUCCAAAGUUCAAGUGUCUAAACAUUAGUCAGCAGAAUGAUAAACUCUUUUUAGUAGUUUCAGAUUCAUCACUCAUAAAGAAGACAGACUCACAAAAAAAAUGAGCUCAUGAGAUUGAUACAUAGAUUCAGAAUUCUAAUUUAUCCACAUGCAGUAAGAAUGUUAACUAUACUAGAGAAGCAGAUAAAUUAUCCAACCUUGUCUCCAUGUGGGUGGCACAAAGGAAGCCAAAUUAUGAUCAAAAUGGCUUAGCGAGCAUGUGAAUUAAGGAAGGAAUCAGUCGUUUGAUUUUGAUGUUAAGUGGCAUUAUGCUAAAGAAUGAGCCUUUCAGGCAGUAUUCUUAGAACUAAACAUCUUUUCCCUGGGAGAAUUUCAUAUCUACCCCCAUUCUAUGUUCCUUGGCUAUACAAUGUCCCUUCUUGCUCACAAAAUUCUUAGUACAGUCAAUCAUGAUGUACUCCUAAAAGCCUAGAAAUACUUUUUGUCGUUAUAUGGAGACCUUUCAAUAUUUCAGCCUAAGAGGGAAAUCUUAUUUGGCUCUAAGUUCUUAUGCAGGAAAAAAAACAUUACUGCAGCUCCAAAUACAACACCAUUUACUAUGGAUAAUGCAAUGAAAGACAUCAUUGCUAAAAACAUACAACAAAAGGGCACCUGGGUGGCACAGUCAGUUGAAUGUCUAACUCUUGAUUAUGUCUCCGGUCAUGAUCUCACUCACAGAUUUGUGAGUUCAAUCCCCACAUUGGGAUCUGUGCUGACUUUGCGGAUCCUGCUUGGGAUUCUCUCUCUUUCCCUCUCUCUCUGCAGCUCCCCUGCUCACACAAGGUCUCUCUCCCACUCAAAAUAAAUAAAUGAACAUUUAUUUUAAAAAUACAACAAAAAAGAAGUAUUGGUAUAUGCUUAGGAAUAUUAUGUUAGAGAAAACAAUCUCUUAUUAGCUUUUAUUUUAUUCUAGUUAAUUUUGACAUGUCUCAAAAUAGUCCAGUGGUGCAGUGGAAUUAACAGAAGACACAACCAAAUAUUUGUUUCAUUAAAAAUCAAAACAAAACAAAACAACUCAUGCAGGUAUUAAUCCUAAGCUUUUUUAACAUCGAACUGAACCUGACGUGAAAAGUGCUUUUUAAUAUUUAUGGUUCAGCUUGCCUACUCUGUUUGAAUUAUGUGGAUUCAAUAAGUUUUAAUGCACUCAUGCCUGCACAGACACAUGUAGACACACACACACAUUCCUGCACAACUUGAAUCUUAUUCUUUAAAAAAAAUUUUAAUGCUUAUUUAUUUUUGAGAAAGUGAGAGAAAGUUCUGAAUAGAAUUGUUCACCUUAGUAUUAAGUACCCACUGUGGGAAAUGCAAAUAUUUCUUCUACAUGGACUGCAAAUGUGCCAAGAGACCACAAGUAAAAUAUUUAGUGCUAACUUUAAGAUGGAAAUGUCUUCCUUAUUGAGCCAUAACUUCACUCUGAGAAAUAUUUCUGGGAAGAAAAGAUUUAUUUUAAUAUUUCUGCAUUUAACUGAUGGCUGUUCACAAUUAAUGGUUUUGCUUUAGUAAGGCAUCGUUUUCCAAAAGAAAAAGAGGAAAGAAAUAGGUAAGAUUAUCGGUGGGAAGUGAGACAUGACGUCUACUAUGUUUUAAACUACAUAAAUGUGUAUUUUCACCCUAUUUUACACUGGACAAAUUCCAGGUUUUUUUAAAUUAAUUUUACUGUAAUAAAUGUUAGUAAUUCAAAAUUUGUGAUCAUUUGGAGUCAGCUGAAUAAAAAUAUAAUUUUUCACAAUGUGAAAGACAAAGGAAUACCAUACGCAAAAUUGCAAUGCACUAAAGACUGCUUAAGAUAAUCCUUUUUAAAUUUUUAGAUAGCUAAUAUUUUAUGUGCAGUAAGCUGACAUAAAUCAUAAUUUAAAACAGUUGUUUUGUCAGCAAUUUCCUGGCUCUAACCUUGAGACAGGACAUCAUCUCCUUGGGAGAGGAUGUCAACUCUUUUCCAAUGCUGUGCUUCCUGGUUUAAGCAAACUCCCUUCUGCUUGGCAAAUGAAAAUACAUUAUAGAGAGGGAAAGAACACGAGCAUGGGAGGGACAGAGAGAGAGAGAGGCAGAGAGAGAAUCCCAAGUAGGCUCCAUGCUGUCAGCCUGGAGCCUGACAUGGGGCUUGAUCCAACUACAGUGAGAUCAUGACCUGAGCUGAAAUCAAGAGUCUGAUGCUUAACUGACUUGAGCUACCCACGUACCCCUCACUAGUUUCAUAGAUAGCAAUGUUUGACCGAUUGUCAUAGCAAUCCUGUGACACAAAAUAGGUACUAUAAUGCUUGUGUUUAAGGUGAGGCUGUUGAGGCUCAAGGAGAUUAUUUCAUAUCACACAAUUUGUUGUACAUCUAAGUGAUUGACCUCCAACUUUAUCCUUGACUACUUAGUAUAUGUCAGGCCCUGUGCUAAUAUGCAUAAACAACUUCAUGGUGCUUAUUUAUAUAGUUCUUAGUAAAACCAGAUAUUACCCUAAGUGCUUUACAAACAGAGUUCAUUUAAUCAAUGUAUAGGUGAGAAAAUGACACAGCGAGAGGUUAAGUUGUCUAGGAUCACCAGUGUAUUGAAAGGUAGUGCCAGGGCAAGAAUCCAUGUCUCCUUUAUUACAAUAGUGUAUUUAUUGUCUAUAAAACAGAACCUGAGUGCUAUUACUCAAAAUGGUUUUAAAUACUCAAAACAGGAUGCAUGGGAAAUCUAAAUUAAAUUUGCUACAAAACAAGUGUACAUUGUAAAUGAGAAACAGGUUUGGAAAAGUAAAGAAAAAACUUUGUAAAGGAAAUUUUAAAAAUUAAACUAUGAGGGUAAUUGAAAAAAUAAAACAGUGUGAUUAAAAAUGGUCUAGAUAAAAGCAAUACUCAAAAGCAUCAUUGUGGAAGUAAAAUACUACAUAUUAAUGUUAUCUUAAAGGUACAUAUUCAAGGGACUUGGUGAUUUCAUUGGCAUAUUCCUUUGUUUAAAAACAGAAACAUUAGUUUCAUGAUUUUGUUUUAAUUAAAUCUUUUGUACUGGAAUGAAAUGGGAUGCAUAUUUGUUCUCAAAGCAUUUAUGUGAGUUUUCUGACAUUUAUUUUCCUUGUAGUCCUCAAAGAAGCUGUGAUAUUCAUGAAAUAAUAUGAGCUCAUACAAACAUGAUCACGACCUUGGCAUUACAAAAGGGUUUGUUCAACUUAAAAGCGCUUGGGAAAGGAAGCAGUUGCACGAUUAAAAACAAAGAACAAGGAUAGUUGAGCUUUCAGAUAUGUUUAUACUUUCAUGUAUAUAAUUUGCCAAAUUCACAAGGGCACAAACUUCAAAGUUAAUUCAGUGCACAGUAAGGACUAAGUUCUAGAGUUGCUGUGGAUGUAUAGUCGAGUGCCUACAACCUCAGAUCCUAUACACGGUCUAUUUAAAUCACCUUAGCAAGCUUACACUUUCACUUUAAAAUAACAGCACACUGAGUAAGCUUGAAGAGUGUGAAAAACAGGCAGUAGACAA